rnacentral:misc_RNA from 1 species
GGUCAAUACUUCUUGGAAUGU